rnacentral:rRNA from 1 species
CCACACACUUCAUGGUGAGUGGUGCAAAGCUUUUGCGGUGUGGGAUGAGCCCGCGGCCUAUCAGCUUGUUGGUGGGGUAAUGGCCCACCAAGGCGACGACGGGUAGCCGGCCUGAGAGGGUGACCGGCCACACUGGGACUGAGAUACGGCCCAGACUCCUACGGGAGGCAGCAGUGGGGAAUAUUGCACAAUGGGCGCAAGCCUGAUGCAGCGACGCCGCGUGAGGGAUGACGGCCUUCGGGUUGUAAACCUCUUUCAGUAGGGACGAAGCGAAAGUGACGGUACCUACAGAAGAAGGACCGGCCAACUACGUGCCAGCAGCCGCGGUAAUACGUAGGGUCCGAGCGUUGUCCGGAAUUACUGGGCGUAAAGAGCUCGUAGGUGGUUUGUCACGUUGUUCGUGAAAACCCACAGCUUAACUGUGGGCGUGCGGGCGAUACGGGCAGACUAGAGUACUGCAGGGGAGACUGGAAUUCCUGGUGUAGCGGUGGAAUGCGCAGAUAUCAGGAGGAACACCGGUGGCGAAGGCGGGUCUCUGGGCAGUAACUGACGCUGAGGAGCGAAAGCGUGGGUAGCGAACAGGAUUAGAUACCCUGGUAGUCCACGCCGUAAACGGUGGGUACUAGGUGUGGGUUUCCUUCCUUGGGAUCCGUGCCGUAGCUAACGCAUUAAGUACCCCGCCUGGGGAGUACGGUCGCAAGACUAAAACUCAAAGGAAUUGACGGGGGCCCGCACAAGCGGCGGAGCAUGUGGAUUAAUUCGAUGCAACGCGAAGAACCUUACCUGGGUUUGACAUGCACAGGACGUACCUAGAGAUAGGUAUUCCCUUGUGGCCUGUGUGCA